rnacentral:rRNA from 1 species
ACAAGCAGCGGAGCGUGUGGUUUUAAGUUCGAGGCUACACGAAGAACCUUACCUGGGCUUGACAUCACGGUGGUAGCGACCCGAGAGGGAGCGACCUUCGGGAGCCGUGACAGGUGCUGCAUGGCUGUCGUCAGCUCGUGUCGUGAGAUGUCCGGUUAAGUCCGGUAACGAGCGCAACCCUCGCCGUCAGUUACAGGUUGUCUGACGGGACUGCCCGUUGAACGCGGGAGGAAGGUGGGGAUGACGUCAAGUCAGCAUGGCCCUUAUGUCCAGGGCGACACACACGCUACAAUGGCCGGUACAAUGGGUCGCCAACCCGCGAGGGGGAGCCAAUCCAGCAAAGCCGGUCUCAGUUCGGAUUGCAGGCUGCAACUCGCCUGCAUGAAGCUGGAGUUGCUAGUAAACGCGCGUCAGCUAUAGUGCGUUGAAUACGUUCUCGGGCCUC